rnacentral:rRNA from 1 species
AAGUUAAUAAGGGCGCACGGUGGAUGCCUUGGCACUAGAAGCCGAUGAAGGACGUGACUAACGACGAAAUGCUUUGGGGAGCUGUAAGUGAGCAAUGAUCCAGAGAUGUCCGAAUGGGGGAACCCGGCAGGUAAUGCCUGUCACUCAUUACUGUUAAGGUAAUGUAGAGGAAGACGCAGUGAACUGAAACAUCUAAGUAGCUGUAGGAAGAGAAAGCAAAAGCGAUUGCCUUAGUAGCGGCGAGCGAAACGGCAAGAGGGCAAACCGAAGAGUUUACUCUUCGGGGUUGUAGGACUGCAACGUGGACUUAAAGAUUAUAGAAGAACUACCUGGGAAGGUAGGCCAAAGAGAGUAAUAGCCUCGUAUUCGAAAUAGUCUUUAUACCUAGCAGUAUCCUGAGUACGGCGAGACACGAGAAAUCUCGUCGGAAUCUGGGAGGACCAUCUCCCAACCCUAAAUACUCUCUAGUGACCGAUAGUGAACCAGUACCGUGAGGGAAAGGUGAAAAGCACCCCGGGAGGGGAGUGAAAUAGAACCUGAAACCGUGUGCCUACAACAAGUUCGAGCCCGUUAAUGGGUGAGAGCGUGCCUUUUGUAGAAUGAACCGGCGAGUUACGAUAUGAUGCGAGGUUAAGUUGAAGAGACGGAGCCGUAGGGAAACCGAGUCUUAAUAGGGCGCAUUAGUAUCAUGUCGUAGACCCGAAACCAUGUGACCUACCCAUGAGCAGGUUGAAGGUGAGGUAAAACUCACUGGAGGACCGAACCAGGGCACGUUGAAAAGUGCUUGGAUGACUUGUGGGUAGCGGAGAAAUUCCAAACGAACUUGGAGAUAGCUGGUUCUCUCCGAAAUAGCUUUAGGGCUAGCGUCGAUGUUAAGUCUCUUGGAGGUAGAGCACUGUUUGGGUGAGGGGUCCAUCCCGGAUUACCAAUCUCAGAUAAACUCCGAAUGCCAAUGAGAUAUAAUCGGCAGUCAGACUGCGAGUGCUAAGAUCCGUAGUCGAAAGGGAAACAGCCCAGACCACCAGCUAAGGUCCCAAAAUAUAUGUUAAGUGGAAAAGGAUGUGGGGUUGCACAGACAACUAGGAUGUUAGCUUAGAAGCAGCUAUUCAUUCAAAGAGUGCGUAAUAGCUCACUAGUCGAGUGACCCUGCGCCGAAAAUGUACCGGGGCUAAAACAUAUUACCGAAGCUGUGGAUACCUUUAUAGGUAUGGUAGGAGAGCGUUCUAUGUGCGAAGAAGGUGUACCGUGAGGAGUGCUGGAGCGCAUAGAAGUGAGAAUGCCGGUAUGAGUAGCGAAAGACAGGUGAGAAUCCUGUCCACCGUAAGACUAAGGUUUCCAGGGGAAGGCUCGUCCGCCCUGGGUUAGUCGGGACCUAAGGAGAGACCGAAAGGUGUAUCCGAUGGACAACAGGUUGAUAUUCCUGUACUAGAGUAUAUAGUGAUGGAGGGACGCAGUAGGCUAACUAAACCAGACGAUUGGAAGUGUCUGGCCAAGCAGUGAGGUGUGAUAUGAGUCAAAUGCUUAUAUCUUUAACAUUGAGCUGUGAUGGGGAGCGAAGUUUAGUAGCGAAGUUAGUGAUGUCACACUGCCGAGAAAAGCUUCUAGCGUUAAUUAUACUCUACCCGUACCGCAAACCGACACAGGUAGUCGAGGCGAGUAGCCUCAGGUGAGCGAGAGAACUCUCGUUAAGGAACUCGGCAAAAUGGCCCCGUAACUUCGGGAGAAGGGGCGCUGACUGAUGGUCAGCCGCAGUGAAUAGGCCCAAGCAACUGUUUAUCAAAAACACAGCUCUCUGCUAAAUCGUAAGAUGAUGUAUAGGGGGUGACGCCUGCCCGGUGCUGGAAGGUUAAGAGGAGUGCUUAGCGUAAGCGAAGGCAUGAAUUGAAGCCCCAGUAAACGGCGGCCGUAACUAUAACGGUCCUAAGGUAGCGAAAUUCCUUGUCGGGUAAGUUCCGACCCGCACGAAAGGCGUAAUGAUUUGGGCACUGUCUCAACGAGAGACUCGGUGAAAUUUUAGUACCUGUGAAGAUGCAGGUUACCCGCGACAGGACGGAAAGACCCCAUGGAGCUUUACUGCAGUUUGAUAUUGAGUAUCUGUACCACAUGUACAGGAUAGGUAGGAGCCUAUGACCUCGGGACGCCAGUUUCGAGUGAGGCGUUGUUGGGAUACUACCCUUGUGUUAUGGCUACUCUAACCCAGAUAGGUUAUCCCUAUCGGAGACAGUGUCUGACGGGCAGUUUGACUGGGGCGGUCGCCUCCUAAAAGGUAACGGAGGCGCCCAAAGGUUCCCUCAGAAUGGUUGGAAAUCAUUCGCAGAGUGUAAAGGUAUAAGGGAGCUUGACUGCGAGAGCUACAACUCGAGCAGGGACGAAAGUCGGGCUUAGUGAUCCGGUGGUUCCGUAUGGAAGGGCCAUCGCUCAACGGAUAAAAGCUACCCUGGGGAUAACAGGCUUAUCUCCCCCAAGAGUUCACAUCGACGGGGAGGUUUGGCACCUCGAUGUCGGCUCGUCGCAUCCUGGGGCUGUAGUCGGUCCCAAGGGUUGGGCUGUUCGCCCAUUAAAGCGGCACGCGAGCUGGGUUCAGAACGUCGUGAGACAGUUCGGUCCCUAUCCGUCGCGGGCGUAGGAAAUUUGAGAGGAUCUGCUCCUAGUACGAGAGGACCAGAGUGGACUUACCGCUGGUGUACCAGUUGUUCUGCCAAGAGCAUCGCUGGGUAGCUAUGUAGGGAAGGGAUAAACGCUGAAAGCAUCUAAGUGUGAAGCCCACCUCAAGAUGAGAUUUCCCAUGAUUUUAUAUCAGUAAGAGCCCUGAGAGAUGAUCAGGUUGAUAGGUUAGAAGUGGAAGUGUGGUGACACAUGUAGCGGACUAAUACUAAUAGCUCGAGGACUU